rnacentral:tRNA from 1 species
GCUCUCGUGGCCCAGUUGGUUAGUGCGUCGUACUUAUAAUGCGAAGGUCGAGGGUUCGAUCCCCUCCGGGAGCA